CUCACCUCAUCACCUCGUCAAGCUGAUCUCACCUCGUCACCUCAUCAAGCUCACCUCACUUUGUCACCUCGUCAAGCUGAUCUCACUUUGUCACCUCGUCAAGCUCACCUCACCUCGUCACCUCGCCAAACUCACCUCACCUCGCCACCUCGUCAAACUCACCUCGCCACCUCGUCAAACUCACCUCGCCAUCUCGUCAAACUCACCUCACCAUGUCUUAAACUUUGUUCUUAUUUUGUUGUCGAUCUAAGCUUAAUUUAACAGAAAAUCUCCGAACUCUCCAACAUAAGUUGACUUGUUUGACCCGUGCGAAUCCACGUUCAACAAAUGGCGCGCCAGGUAGGGGGGGGCAAGAAGAUUUUCUACACCCCAAAGCAGCUCGGCAAUGUUAAGAACCCAGCUGACCUCGCCAAAGGAAACCAUGCAUAGUUGAGCUAACCUCGUAGCUCAUCGACAUCAAACAAAGGAACUCACUUAUAAACAAGAUAAGUGUUGAGCUAGUUUCAUUUUUUACUCUCUUUUCUUAAAGCCGAGCUCAUCUCGCCAGUUCGUAGUUACAACGUAACUCGCUGAAAUACCUCGACAUCAUUGACAUCGACAUCCUAGCUAGAUGCGCGAUCCGUAAGAAACGCAUUCCCAAUAGUGCAAUUUCUUAUAAGUCCUAAGGAACAAAAACCUUAUGACUAUACGAAAGUAAGCCGGGUCCAGUCCCGCAUAAUCUCUUAGAUCGCACGAGUAAAAAAAACGCCGAACACAUCUUCGCUACUCGGAUACGAUCUAAGAAGCUAACAGGUGGACCGAGCUAAUAUUCGCACCUACAGCAUACUAAACCGAGUCCUUACUCGUAAACAAAAUAGGAUAAGCCGAGGUCUUACCUCGCACCUACAGAUCUAAUAAGCCGAGUUCCCACUUCACAUUUAUUUCAGUCUGUAUCUAUAUGUUCGAUUAACCAAGUUCAAACUCGCAUUAUAUUACUCGUUAAUCUUGCAGCUAUAUAGCUCGUUGACCUCGCAGCUUUGCGGCUCCUCGUCUAUACGACCUCGCAGCUCGUCAACCUCGCAGCUUGUCGACCUUGCAGCUCGUCGACCUCGCAGUUCAUCGACCACACAGAUUUGCGGUUCCUCGUCUAUUCGACUUUGAGCUCUUCAACCUCGCAGCUCG
rnacentral:lncRNA from 1 species